AAAUCCGUUGAUUUUUAAAAUCGUGAGGGUUCAAGUCCCUCUAUCCCCA
rnacentral:tRNA from 1 species